AUUGAACGCUGGCGGAAUGCUUUACACAUGCAAGUCGAACGGCAGCACGGGGCAACCUGGUGGCGAGUGGCGAACGGGUGAGUAAUACAUCGGAACGUGCCCAAUCGUGGGGGAUAACGUAGCGAAAGUUACGCUAAUACCGCAUACGAUCUACGGAUGAAAGCGGGGGAUCGCAAGACCUCGCGCGAGUGGAGCGGCCGAUGUCAGAUUAGGUAGUUGGUGGGGUAAAGGCUCACCAAGCCAACGAUCUGUAGCUGGUCUGAGAGGACGACCAGCCACACUGGAACUGAGACACGGUCCAGACUCCUACGGGAGGCAGCAGUGGGGAAUUUUGGACAAUGGGCGCAAGCCUGAUCCAGCCAUUCCGCGUGCAGGAUGAAGGCCUUCGGUUGUAACUAGCUUUG
rnacentral:rRNA from 1 species